rnacentral:rRNA from 1 species
CCGGCACGGGUGAGUAACACGUAUGCAACCUGCCUGCCACAGCCGGAUAAUCGGGAGAAAUUCCGUCUAAUACGGCAUAAUGCAUCGACGGGACAUCCUGUUGGUGCCAAAGGUUAAUUCCGGUGGCGGAUGGGCAUGCGUCGCAUUAGUUAGUUGGCGGUGUAACGGACCACCAAGACGACGAUGCGGUAGGGGUUCUGAGAGGAAGGUCCCCCACACUGGUACUGAGACACGGACCAGACUCCUACGGGAGGCAGCAG